rnacentral:rRNA from 1 species
GGGACUGACGCCUGCCCGUGGGAGAAGCUUCGGAUGAAGACUUUACUUGUGAGGAAGGGCAUAAGUUAAUACCUUGCUGUUUUGACUUACCGACAGAAUAACCACCGGCUAACUUCGUGCCAGCAGCCGCGGUAAUACGAAGGGUGCAAGCGUUAAUCGGAAUUACUGGGCGUAAAGCGCGCGUAGGUGGUUUGUUAAGUUGGAUGUGAAAGCCCCGGGCUCAACCUGGGAACUGCAUCCAAAACUGGCAAGCUAGAGUAUGGCAGAGGGUGGUGGAAUUUCCUGUGUAGCGGUGAAAUGCGUAGAUAUAGGAAGGAACACCAGUGGCGAAGGCGACCACCUGGGCUAAUACUGACACUGAGGUGCGAAAGCGUGGGGAGCAAACAGGAUUAGAUACCCCAGUAGUCAA